CUGCAGCCCGAGUGGUGGCCGAUAUUAUUGAGCCUAAAGCGUCCGUAGCCGGUCUGGUAAAUUCUUGGGUAAAUCGAGCAGCUCAACUGUCCGAAUUCCGAGGAGACUGCCAGACUUGGGACCGGGAGAGGUCAGAGGUACUCCAGGGGUAGGGGCUAAAUCCUGUAAUCCUUGGGGGACCACCAGUGGCGAAGGCGUCUGACUAGAACGGAUUCGACGGUAAGGGACGAAACCCUGGGGCGCAAACCGGAUUAGAUACCCGAGUAGUCC
rnacentral:rRNA from 1 species